AUGAAAGCGUCAAGAUGAGCAGGUUACAGGGCAACUUUCAGGAGUCCAUUUUCAACCUAACGGCCACAGUCUUUAAAAGGAAACCAACGGACCCUCCUUCUCCCAGUAGUCAUCAGUUGCCGGAGCGCUCCUAAGCAAGAGGUGAGAAUUCAUCACCACCUCCGCACCCCAUGCUGAGAUUUUGUCUGGCUUCACCACUCAGAGGACUUGUGCCUGCUGUCACAAUCGCUGAACGAGGGAUUGACAUUGGGAAGGCAGUAAUUUCCUAGGUGAAUCAACCGAAGUUUGCAGGACUGAUGGAUGGGAAUGAAAAACGAGCAUCAUUAUUUGGUUUAUGGAUGACAUAGUCACCAUUGGGUGAUAUGUGGUGUGAAGAACUGCACGUGUGUGGGUUUCAUCCCCGACACCAUCCCCAGCACACACGUGUGUGUUCAGACCCUGAUCCUAAAACCCACACAGUGUGACUUCAUGCCUCACAAACCUUAAUGGCAAAUCCCAAAGUCUUCCUCGGUCCUUGAUCUUCUUGUCACCAGCAAAAUGAUCCCUCCUUCCUGUUACUUUCUGCAUUGGGGCAGUGGUGCGGGAGAAUUAUCUGUAUUCUGUCAAUCAUAUUUUAAUAAAACACUGAUUGG